rnacentral:rRNA from 1 species
UGGAAUUGCUAGUAAUGGCAGGUCAGCAUACUGCCGUGAAUACGUUCCCGGGCCUUGUACACACCGCCCGUCACACCAUGAGAGUGGAAAUACCCGAAGCCUGUGAGCUAACUUAAAGAGGCAGCAGUCGAAGGUAGAGCCAAUGAUUGGGGUGAAGUCGUAACAAGGUACC